GGAAACAGGUGCUAAUACCGUAUAACACUAUUUUCCGCAUGGAAGAAAGUUGAAAGGCGCUUUUGCGUCACUGAUGGAUGGACCCGCGGUGCAUUAGCUAGUUGGUGAGGUAACGGCUCACCAAGGCCACGAUGCAUAGCCGACCUGAGAGGGUGAUCGGCCACACUGGGACUGAGACACGGCCCAGACUCCUACGGGAGGCAGCAGUAGGGAAUCUUCGGCAAUGGACGAAAGCCUGACCGAGCAACGCCGCGUGAGUGAAGAAGGUUUUCGGAUCGUAAAACUCUGUUGUUAGAGAAGAACAAGGAUGAGAGUAAAAUGUUCAUCCCUUGACGGUAUCUAACCAGAAAGCCACGGCUAACUACGUGCCAGCAGCCGCGGUAAUACGUAGGUGGCAAGCGUUGUCCGGAUUUAUUGGGCGUAAAGCGAGCGCAGGCGGUUUCUUAAGUCUGAUGUGAAAGCCCCCGGCUCAACCGGGGAGGGUCAUUGGAAACUGGGAGACUUGAGUGCAGAAGAGGAGAGUGGAAUUCCAUGUGUAGCGGUGAAAUGCGUAGAUAUAUGGAGGAACACCAGUGGCGAAGGCGGCUCUCUGGUCUGUAACUGACGCUGAGGCUCGAAAGCGUGGGGAGCGAACAGGAUUAGAUACCCUGGUAGUCCACGCCGUAAACGAU
rnacentral:rRNA from 1 species